rnacentral:misc_RNA from 1 species
GGCAUGCAGAUGCUAGCCCAAUCAGAGGAGGCUUCGUGAAAAAAAAUUCUUAAAUAAAAAAUAUAACAUCAUUUGUAUUUGUAAAUUGCAUUUUCUCACGUUCAACAAAAUGCAAAAAUCUUUUAUUUUGUCCUAUUUCUGGAGAAAUUGAAGUUAUAGGUAUUUGGACUUGGUCAAUUUUCAUGAAACAUUAUUUAUCCUUUUAAUAUUCUUUGAACUAUGGGAAACCUAUUCUGAAAGUUGGUGAUAUGAGAGAAAAAUUUUAUUGAUGAGGUACUUUAAUCCCAUCUUUAAGAUUAAAGAUAAUACAAAGUU